GGGCGUGUAGCUCAGUUGGGAGAGCGCCUGACUGGCAGUCAGGAGGUCGCGGGUUCGAUUCCCUUCACGUCCACCA
rnacentral:tRNA from 1 species